UCGCCACGGGAAUACGGAGGGUGCAAGCGUUAAUCGGAAUUACUGGGCGUAAAGCGCACGCAGGCGGUCUGACAAGUCAGAUGUGAAAUCCCCGGGCUUAACCUGGGAACUGCAUUUGAAACUGUCAGGCUGGAGUCUUGUAGAGGGGGGUGGAAUUCCAGGUGUAGCGGUGAAAUGCGUAGAGAUCUGGAGGAAUACCGGUGGCGAAGGCGGCCCCCUGGACAAAGACUGACGCUCAGGUGCGAAAGCGUGGGGAGCAAACAGGAUUAGAUACCCGAGUAGUCCCUGUCUCUUAUACACA
rnacentral:rRNA from 1 species